UUGGGUUUUCUUAUUAGAGCAAAAGUCACCUCAACACUCAGCCUAUAAAUGAAGAACUGGACAGACGACAAAACUAUGCAACUUCACUUGAAAUUAUAAUUGUAAUCUUCUUUCAUCUUUCAUAAAGCUUUGUACACGUGAGUGAACAAUUGUAAAAGAAAAAGAGAAGGAAAGAUUCUGAGUGUAGGUUAUACAAGUAGAGGCAGUGU
rnacentral:lncRNA from 1 species